rnacentral:rRNA from 1 species
UAGGGAAUAUUAGUAAUGGGCGAAAGCCUGAACUAGCAACGCCGCGUGUGCGAAGAAGGCCUUCGGGUUGUAAAGCACUUUUUGAGAGGAUGAGGAAGGACGGUACUCUCAGAAUAAGUCUCGGCUAACUACGUGCCAGCAGCCGCGGUAACACGUAGGAGGCGAACGUUAUCCGGAUUUACUGGGCGUAAAGCGCGUGUAGGUGGUUUGGUAAGUAGGGCGUGAAAGCUCUUGGCUCAACUGGGAGAGGCCGUUCUAAACUGCCGAACUAGAGGAUGGUAGAGGGAGGUGGAAUUCCGGGUGCAGCGGUGGAAUGCGCAGAUAUCCGGAGGAACACCAGUGGCGAAAGCGGCCUCCUGGACCACUCCUGACACUCAGACGCGAAAGCUAGGGUAGCAAACGG